UACGAAGGGGGCUAGCGUUGUUCGGAAUCACUGGGCGUAAAGGGCGCGUAGGCGGCUUUGUAAGUCGGGGGUGAAAGCCUGUGGCUCAACCACAGAAUUGCCUUCGAUACUGCAUGGCUUGAGACCGGAAGAGGUAAGUGGAACUGCGAGUGUAGAGGUGAAAUUCGUAGAUAUUCGCAAGAACACCAGUGGCGAAGGCGGCUUACUGGUCCGGUUCUGACGCUGAGGCGCGAAAGCGUGGGGAGCAAACAGGGAUUAAGAAACCCU
rnacentral:rRNA from 1 species